UACAGUCAUAGCAGGUUGAAUGCCGAUUCUCAUACGAUCACCGAAGUUAAGCAACGUUGAGCCUGAUCAAUACCUAGAUGGAUGACCGUUUGGGAAUACCAGUUGCCGU